GGGGUCCGAAUCCUGGCUCUAGUAUUUCCCAGUUGUGGAGUUUUGGGCAAGCAUGCCCUCAUCCUCCUGAGCCUCAGCAACGACACUUAUCUGACAAGGCAGGAAUGAAAGAUUCUCCCCAGUGCCUGAAAGCUUGAAGGGAUGAAUAACUCCUCCCUUCUCAGGCCCAGUCCCAAGGCACAAGACCACUUGUGCCAGCAGCCAGCAGCGUGCAUCAGCAAGACAGCAGAAGCAGGAAGACAGCCUGCUGGAAGACACUUACCCUGGCCGGAAGACAUGUACCCCUGAAGAUGGAGAAAGAGGCCUUCCGGGUACUACGUAGCAGUCACGUCAGACCGGGACACUUCCUGUUUAGAGAGGACUAUAAAACUCCGGUCCGGUAAUCACUUGGGGCUGACGCCAUUUUAGGCCUCAUCCCGCCUGCACCCAGGCACUCAUUAAAACAGCGUGUUGCCCCACACUGCCUCGUGUUGUCUGUUGGUGCGCUCUCGGGGUUCAAACCGAUACAAGAACCUUUCAAAUGGUAGUAAGAUUAAA
rnacentral:lncRNA from 1 species